UACGUAGGGACCAAGCGUUGUUCGGAUUUACUGGGCGUAAAGGGCGCGUAGGCGGCUUGACAAGUCACUUGUCGAAAUCUCCGGGCUUAACUCGGAACGGCCAAGUGAAACUGUCAUGCUAGAGUGCAGAAGGGGCAAUCGGAAUUCUUGGUGUAGCGGUGAAAUGCGUAGAUAUCAAGAGGAACACCUGAGGUGAAGACGGGUUGCUGGGCUGACACUGACGCUGAGGCGCGGAAAGCCAGGGGAGCAAACGGG
rnacentral:rRNA from 1 species